rnacentral:rRNA from 1 species
UAGGGAAUCUUCCGCAAUGGACGAAAGUCUGACGGAGCAACGCCGCGUGAGUGAUGAAGGCUUUCGGGUCGUAAAACUCUGUUGUUAGGGAAGAACAAGUGCUAGUUGAAUAAGCUGGCACCUUGACGGUACCUAACCAGAAAGCCACGGCUAACUACGUGCCAGCAGCCGCGGUAAUACGUAGGUGGCAAGCGUUAUCCGGAAUUAUUGGGCGUAAAGCGCGCGCAGGUGGUUUCUUAAGUCUGAUGUGAAAGCCCACGGCUCAACCGUGGAGGGUCAUUGGAAACUGGGAGACUUGAGUGCAGAAGAGGAAAGUGGAAUUCCAUGUGUAGCGGUGAAAUGCGUAGAGAUAUGGAGGAACACCAGUGGCGAAGGCGACUUUCUGGUCUGUAACUGACACUGAGGCGCGAAAGCGUGGGGAGCAAACAGGAUUAGAUACCCUGGUAGUCCACGCCGUAAACGAUGAGU